rnacentral:misc_RNA from 1 species
GAUGAAGAACGCAGCGAAAUGCGAUAAGUAAUGUGAAUUGCAGAAUUCAGUGAAUCAUCGAAUCUUUGAACGCACAUUGCGCCCGCUAGUAUUCUGGCGGGCAUGCCUGUCCGAGCGUCAUUUCAACCCUCAAGCCCCCGGGCUUGGUGUUGGGGAUCGGCGAGCCUCCGCGCCCGCCGUCCCCUAAAUCUAGUGGCGGUCUCGCUGUAGCUUCCUCUGCGUAGUAGCACACCUCGCACUGNNNNNNAGCGCGGCCACGCCGUUAAACCCCCAACUUCUGAACGUUUGACCUCGGAUCAGGUAGGAAUACCCGCUGAACUUAAGCAUAUCAAUAAGCGGAGGA